rnacentral:tRNA from 1 species
GUCCCGUUCGUCUAGCCUGGCCUAGGACUCCAGAUUUUCAUUCUGGCAACAGGGGUUCGAAUCCCCUACGGGAUACCA